rnacentral:rRNA from 1 species
CUAGUAGCUGGUUCCCUCCGAAGUUUCCCUCAGGAUAGCUGGUGCAUUUUAAAAUUAUGUUAAAUAAUCUUAUCUGGUAAAGCGAAUGAUUAGAGGCCUUAGGGUCGAAACGACCUUAACCUAUUCUCAAACUUUAAAUGGGUAAGAACCUCACCUUUCUUGAUAUGAAGGUUGAGGUUAUGAUAUAAUGUGCCCAGUGGGCCACUUUUGGUAAGCAGAACUGGCGCUGUGGGAUGAACCAAACGUAAUGUUACGGUGCCUAAAUUAACAACUCAUGCAGAUACCAUGAAAGGCGUUGGUUGCUUAAAACAGCAGGACGGUGGACAUGGAAGUCGUAAUCCGCUAAGGAGUGUGUAACAACUCACCUGCCGAAGCAACUAGCCCUUAAAAUGGAUGGCGCUUAAGUUGUAUACCUAUACAUUACCGCUAAAGUACAUGAUUUAUAAUACAAUUUCGGUUGUUUUUAUAAAUUUUGAAACUUUAGUGAGUAGGAGGGUACAAUGGUGUGCUUAGAAGUGUUUGGCGUAAGCCUGCAUGGAGCCGCCAUUGGUACAGAUCUUGGUGGUAGUAGCAAAUAAUCGAAUGAGACCUUGGAGGACUGAAGUGGAGAAGGGUUUCGUGUGAACAGUGGUUGAUCACGAGUUAGUCGGUCCUAAGUUCAAGGCGAAAGCCGAAAAUUUUCAAGUUUUA